rnacentral:rRNA from 1 species
UACGUAGGGUGCGAGCGUUGUCCGGAUUUAUUGGGCGGAAAGAGCUUGUAGGCGGCUCGUCGCGUCGGGUGUGAAAACUUGCGGCUUAACCGCAAGCCUGCACCCGAUACGGGCGGGCUAGAGUUCGGCAGGGGAGACUGGAAUUCCUGGUGUAGCGGUGGAAUGCGCGGAUAUCAGGAGGAAUACCGGUGGCGAAGGCGGGUCUCUGGGCCGAUACUGACGCUGAGAAGCGAAAGCGUGGGGAGCAAACAGG